rnacentral:rRNA from 1 species
UCGGAACCGUUGAAAAGAGAGAGUCUUGCUCUUCUCGAAUACAGUGGCGAAGCGGGUGAGAUAACACGUGAGACAACCUGUGCCCCGGACUCUGGGAUAAACAGCUGGAAACAGGCUGUCUAAUACCGGAAUACGAAGCUGGCGAAGGCAUUCUUCAGCAGCUGGAAAGAAUUUCGGUCCGGGAUGGGCUCGCGGCCUAUCAGCUAGUUGUGUGAGGUAACGGCUCACCAAGGCGUCGACGGGUAGCCGGCCUGAGAGGGUGACCGGCCACACUGGGACUGAGACACGGCCCAGACUCCUACGGGAGGCAGCAGUGGGGAAUAUUGCACAAUGGGCGAAAGCCUGAUGCAGCAACGCCGCGUGAGGGAUGACGGCCUUCGGGUUGUAAACCUCUUUUAGCAGGGAAGAAGCGAAAGUGACGGUACCUGCAGAAAAAGCGCCGGCUAACUACGUGCCAGCAGCCGCGGUAAUACGUAGGGCGCAAGCGUUAUCCGGAAUUAUUGGGCGUAAAGAGCUCGUAGGCGGUUUGUCGCGUCUGCUGUGAAAACCCGAGGCUCAACCUCGGGCCUGCAGUGGGUACGGGCAGACUAGAGUGCGGUAGGGGAGAUUGGAAUUCCUGGUGUAGCGGUGGAAUGCGCAGAUAUCAGGAGGAACACCGAUGGCGAAGGCAGAUCUCUGGGCCGUAACUGACGCUGAGGAGCGAAAGGGUGGGGAGCAAACAGGCUUAGAUACCCUGGUAGUCCACCCCGUAAACGUUGGGAACUAGUUGUGGGGUCCAUUCCACGGAUUCCGUGACGCAGCUAACGCAUUAAGUUCCCCGCCUGGGGAGUACGGCCGCAAGGCUAAAACUCAAAGGAAUUGACGGGGACCCGCACAAGCGGCGGAGCAUGCGGAUUAAUUCGAUGCAACGCGAAGAACCUUACCAAGGCUUGACAUAUACGAGAACGGGCCAGAAAUGGUCAACUCUUUGGACACUCGUAAACAGGUGGUGCAUGGUUGUCGUCAGCUCGUGUCGUGAGAUGUUGGGUUAAGUCCCGCAACGAGCGCAACCCUCGUUCUUAUGUUGCCAGCACGUAAUGGUGGGAACUCAUGGGAUACUGCCGGGGUCAACUCGGAGGAAGGUGGGGAUGACGUCAAAUCAUCAUGCCCCUUAUGUCUUGGGCCUUCACGCAUUGCUACAAUGGCCGGUACAAAGGGCUGCAAUACCGCAAGUGUGGAGCGAAUCCCAAAAAGCCGGUCCCAGUUCGGAUUGAGCUCUGGCAACUCGAACUCAUUGAUAGUCUCGGAGAUC